GUGGACUAGGAGAGACAGACCCACCCUCAAUGUGGGUGGGCACCAUCUAAUCAGCUGCCAGCAUGGCUAGAAUGAAGCAGACUUGCUGAGUUUUCCGCCCAUCUUCUUUCUCCCGUGCUGGAUGCUUCCUGCUCUCAAACAUCAAACUCAAGUUCUUCAGCUUUUGGACUCUUGGACUUACACCAGUGGUUUGCCAGGGACUCUCAGGCCUUCGGCCACAGACUGAAGGCUGCACUGUCAGCUUCCCUACCUUUGAGGUUUUGGGACUCAAAUUGGCUUCUUUGCUCCUCAGCUUGCAGAUGGCCUAUUGUGGGACUUUACCUUGUGAUCAUGUCUCUGCCUCCUCUCUGUCAGGAAGGAGAGAGAGAAGUUAACCACACAGAACUGACCACCCUCUUUACCCAGAAGGAGCUGAUCAGCCAUCUUUAGGCAGAAGGCUUCCUCCAGCUGCACCCAGAUUCCCCUUCUGUCUCCCACAGCACCCUGGGCUUACUUCUCCAGAUCAUGUAACACCCUGUGCUAAGAUUGUUUAUCUCUUGUCUGACUUCUUGAGUGGAUCAUAAGCUCUUUGAAUGCAGGCAUUGUGUCUUCUCACUCGCAACAUCUCCAGUGUUGAGGACAGAAGUGCCCACAGUGCAUAGGAUAUACUCAAUAAAGGAUUAUCAAAUGUCAUGGAAAUAAGGCCUUAAUUUAAAUUCAGUGGGAAGAGAUUUUCUUGAACUUUAAGAAGACUUGGGGACAAAAUUUGAACUUCUUGUAUGUGUUUCUCCUCAAAGAGCAUAGCUCUGCCUUAAUUCUUCUGAAUCUGACAUCGAGCCUCUGGAGUUUACUAGACUCUUAGGCUGGGAAGCUCUUGGUCCAUUUUUGAUCCACUGCAUUCUGCAGUGAGAUGAAGCCCAUUCCUCUGACAUCCCACUUGGUGUGCCAUGCUGAUAAACCCAUAACACUGAUGCUGUAGAUUAAUGGCAUGCCUUCACUUAUGAACACUUUUUCCCCAUGGUGACUAAUGGCAUUUUGAUGGUGUCUCCUUAGACAGCUGCCUAAAUAUAAAGCAGUAUGAGCUAAAAGAAUAAAUUGAAAAUGUCAGUCGUUUUGUGUAAUCCUUCCAUAAUAUUAUCUGGGAGCCCAGCCUAGCUUUAUGGAAAUCAUUCAGUAGAAUCAGACAAGAUUUUUCCUACAGCACUUUUAUGUUUGCAAAACCAUCAUCAUUGUCAGCUUUAAUUAAUAUUUAUUUCUGUGUAUCACACCUCAUGUUAAUAACUCUCCUCCAGGACUAUUAACAAAAUCCAGAACUGUUAUUUUUCAAUAGAGGAAGCGGAGGUAUACACAGAGGUUUGACAGCUUGCUUAAGGCUACAGGAUAAACUCAGAGUCAAGCUGAGACCAGGAGGCACAGAUCUUCAUCUCCCUGAGAAGGGCGGCUGCUCUAGGGUCAGCUUUGGGACAUAUGCCUCACCUUUGUGUGCCCAUCAGACAAAGUGAGCCACCUGGUAGCUAUGCCUGGACAUGGUAAGAAGCACGCUUUUGAAAUGAAGAGGGAGCCAUCUCAUUUUCCUGGCAUAUGUCACAUCUCUUACUGAAGGGAGAGACCCAUAGCUGCCUGUAUUGUCCGUUGGGGCAUGUCACGGUCUAGAGACAUAUGAAAGACAAAAAAGCUCACUUGUCAUCUGCCUUUCAGUCUAGGAGAGACAGCCCGAGACUGCUGCCGUGGUGGCUGUGAGACGCUGUGUCACAUAUUAAUUAGGAGGAGCAUAUGUAGCAUUUCUAAGCCAGGGGCCAUUUGUGGCGGCAGCAGCCACGCAGGAGGCAGGGAGUGCAGCUAGUAGCUAAAUGGAGGGUUUAGGAUGCAGGUUCUCGGCUCAGACACCGGGAAUGAAUCCGUUAAGAGAAUGUUGCGGCCCUCCAGGCCCCGCUCCUCCUGCCUCGCAGGUGCAGUCACUUGCUGCCCUGGGUUCCCGCGCAACCAGAAGCUUCCUGGGCCCAGCGAAAGUUCUCAUCCCCUGCUCUGUAGCCCUUGAGACGCGCGGGAGGGUUGGAAAAGCCGAGCCGAUUGUGGGUGGCAGGCCUCCACAGAGAUCGAUUUGAAGGCAGAAGCUGAACUCAUCAUACCUCUUUAGAGAAGAAGUAGUAACGUGCCCUUUUCGCUCAACAAAAACCUGGGCAAGGCCAAGGGAAAGGAUAGCAUGCCCCAUGCGGUGAGCAAGGGCGCGUGCGCAGAGUAGCCCGGCCCAACACUCACCUGGAAAUGCGGCUGGGCCAGGGUACAAAUCACAGUCUCUCUUCCAUCCCCGCCCCUGCCACCCACUUCCCUCCUCCGACUUGGCUUUCUGCGAGUGCGCGUGAGGAGAGACUUAUCCAAGGUCAGGGACAGAAGUCAGAAGAUCCUGAUGGUUGCCUGCUCCUUACUAACUGUGUAGCCUUUGGUGCCAUGUUGUGAGGAAACCCAGAUCACAUUAAGAGGCCACGAGUAAGUGUUCCAAACGACAGACCCUGCUAAGGUCUCAGCUGACAGCCAGCAUCAACUGCCAGACAA
rnacentral:lncRNA from 1 species